UUAAGGGCGCACGGUGGAUGCCUUGGCACUAGAAGCCGAUGAAGGACGUUACUAACGACGAUAUGCUUUGGGGAGCUGUAAGUAAGCUUUGAUCCAGAGAUUUCCGAAUGGGGAAACCCAGCAUGAGUUAUGUCAUGUUAUCGAUAUGUGAAUACAUAGCAUAUCAGAAGGCACACCCGGAGAACUGAAACAUCUUAGUACCCGGAGGAAGAGAAAGAAAAUUCGAUUCCCUUAGUAGCGGCGAGCGAAACGGGAAGAGCCCAAACCAACAAGCUUGCUUGUUGGGGUUGUAGGACACUCUAUACGGAGUUACAAAGGACGACAUUAGACGAAUCAUCUGGAAAGAUGAAUCAAAGAAGGUAAUAAUCCUGUAGUCGAAAAUGUUGUCUCUCUUGAGUGGAUCCUGAGUACGACGGAGCACGUGAAAUUCCGUCGGAAUCUGGGAGGACCAUCUCCUAAGGCUAAAUACUCUCUAGUGACCGAUAGUGAACCAGUACCGUGAGGGAAAGGUGAAAAGCACCCCGGAAGGGGAGUGAAACAGAACCUGAAACCGUGUGCUUACAAGUAGUCAGAGCCCGUUAAUGGGUGAUGGCGUGCCUUUUGUAGAAUGAACCGGCGAGUUACGAUUUGAUGCAAGGUUAAGCAGUAAAUGUGGAGCCGUAGCGAAAGCGAGUCUGAAUAGGGCGUUUAGUAUUUGGUCGUAGACCCGAAACCAGGUGAUCUACCCUUGGUCAGGUUGAAGUUCAGGUAACACUGAAUGGAGGACCGAACCGACUUACGUUGAAAAGUGAGCGGAUGAACUGAGGGUAGCGGAGAAAUUCCAAUCGAACCUGGAGAUAGCUGGUUCUCUCCGAAAUAGCUUUAGGGCUAGCCUCAAGUGAUGAUUAUUGGAGGUAGAGCACUGUUUGGACGAGGGGCCCCUCUCGGGUUACCGAAUUCAGACAAACUCCGAAUGCCAAUUAAUUUAACUUGGGAGUCAGAACAUGGGUGAUAAGGUCCGUGUUCGAAAGGGAAACAGCCCAGACCACCAGCUAAGGUCCCAAAAUAUAUGUUAAGUGGAAAAGGAUGUGGCGUUGCCCAGACAACUAGGAUGUUGGCUUAGAAGCAGCCAUCAUUUAAAGAGUGCGUAAUAGCUCACUAGUCGAGUGACACUGCGCCGAAAAUGUACCGGGGCUAAACAUAUUACCGAAGCUGUGGAUUGUCCUUUGGACAAUGGUAGGAGAGCGUUCUAAGGGCGUUGAAGCAUGAUCGUAAGGACAUGUGGAGCGCUUAGAAGUGAGAAUGCCGGUGUGAGUAGCGAAAGACGGGUGAGAAUCCCGUCCACCGAUUGACUAAGGUUUCCAGAGGAAGGCUCGUCCGCUCUGGGUUAGUCGGGUCCUAAGCUGAGGCCGACAGGCGUAGGCGAUGGAUAACAGGUUGAUAUUCCUGUACCACCUAUAAUCGUUUUAAUCGAUGGGGGGACGCAGUAGGAUAGGCGAAGCGUGCGAUUGGAUUGCACGUCUAAGCAGUAAGGCUGAGUAUUAGGCAAAUCCGGUACUCAUUAAGGCUGAGCUGUGAUGGGGAGAAGACAUUGUGUCUUCGAGUCGUUGAUUUCACACUGCCGAGAAAAGCCUCUAGAUAGAAAAUAGGUGCCCGUACCGCAAACCGACACAGGUAGUCAAGAUGAGAAUUCUAAGGUGAGCGAGCGAACUCUCGUUAAGGAACUCGGCAAAAUGACCCCGUAACUUCGGGAGAAGGGGUGCUCUUUAGGGUUAACGCCCAGAAGAGCCGCAGUGAAUAGGCCCAAGCGACUGUUUAUCAAAAACACAGGUCUCUGCUAAACCGUAAGGUGAUGUAUAGGGGCUGACGCCUGCCCGGUGCUGGAAGGUUAAGAGGAGUGGUUAGCUUCUGCGAAGCUACGAAUCGAAGCCCCAGUAAACGGCGGCCGUAACUAUAACGGUCCUAAGGUAGCGAAAUUCCUUGUCGGGUAAGUUCCGACCCGCACGAAAGGCGUAACGAUUUGGGCACUGUCUCAACGAGAGACUCGGUGAAAUCAUAGUACCUGUGAAGAUGCAGGUUACCCGCGACAGGACGGAAAGACCCCGUGGAGCUUUACUGUAGCCUGAUAUUGAAAUUCGGCACAGCUUGUACAGGAUAGGUAGGAGCCUUUGAAACGUGAGCGCUAGCUUACGUGGAGGCGCUGGUGGGAUACUACCCUAGCUGUGUUGGCUUUCUAACCCGCACCACUUAUCGUGGUGGGAGACAGUGUCAGGCGGGCAGUUUGACUGGGGCGGUCGCCUCCUAAAAGGUAACGGAGGCGCUCAAAGGUUCCCUCAGAAUGGUUGGAAAUCAUUCAUAGAGUGUAAAGGCAUAAGGGAGCUUGACUGCGAGACCUACAAGUCGAGCAGGGUCGAAAGACGGACUUAGUGAUCCGGUGGUUCCGCAUGGAAGGGCCAUCGCUCAACGGAUAAAAGCUACCCCGGGGAUAACAGGCUUAUCUCCCCAAGAGUUCACAUCGACGGGGAGGUUUGGCACCUCGAUGUCGGCUCAUCGCAUCCUGGGGCUGUAGUCGGUCCCAAGGGUUGGGCUGUUCGCCCAUUAAAGCGGUACGCGAGCUGGGUUCAGAACGUCGUGAGACAGUUCGGUCCCUAUCCGUCGUGGGCGUAGGAAAUUUGAGAGGAGCUGUCCUUAGUACGAGAGGACCGGGAUGGACAUACCUCUGGUGUACCAGUUGUCGUGCCAACGGCAUAGCUGGGUAGCUAUGUGUGGACGGGAUAAGUGCUGAAAGCAUCUAAGCAUGAAGCCCCCCUCAAGAUGAGAUUUCCCAACUUCGGUUAUAAGAUCCCUCAAAGAUGAUGAGGUUAAUAGGUUCGAGGUGGAAGCAUGGUGACAUGUGGAGCUGACGAAUACUAAUCGAUCGAAGACUUAAUCAA
rnacentral:rRNA from 1 species